rnacentral:rRNA from 1 species
CCUACGGGUGGCAGCAGUAAGGAAUAUUGGUCAAUGGACGCAAGUCUGAACCAGCCAUGCCGCGUGGAGGAUGAAGGUCCUCUGGAUUGUAAACUUCUUUUAUUUGGGAAGAAACUCCCGAUUUCCAUCGGGAUUGACGGUACCAGAUGAAUAAGCACCGGCUAACUCCGUGCCAGCAGCCGCGGUAAUACGGAGGGUGCAAGCGUUAUCCGUUUUAACUGGGUGUAGGUGGUCAGGUGAUUCAGUGGUUAAAUCUCCGGGCUUAACCCGGAAACUGCCAUUGAUACUAUUUGUCUUGAAUACUCUGGAGGUGAGCGGAAUAUGUCAUGUAGCGGUGAAAUGCUUAGAUAUGACAUAGAACACCCAUUGCGAAGGCAGCUCACUACGGAAAUAUUGACGCUGAGGCACGAAAGCGUGGGGAUCAAACAGGAUUAGAUACCCGGGUAGUC